rnacentral:rRNA from 1 species
AUUGAACGCUGGCGGCAUGCCUUACACAUGCAAGUCGAACGGCAGCACGGGAGCAAUCCUGGUGGCGAGUGGCGAACGGGUGAGUAAUAUAUCGGAACGUGCCCAGUCGUGGGGAUAACGUAGCGAAGCUACGCUAAUACCGCAUACGAUCUAUGGAUGAAAGCGGGGGAUCGCAAGACCUCGCGCGAUUGGAGCGGCCGAUAUCAGAUUAGGUAGUUGGUGAGGUAAGGCUCGCCAAGCCGACGAUCUGUAGCUGGU